rnacentral:rRNA from 1 species
GAUGAACGCUGGCGGCGUGCCUAAUACAUGCAAGUCGAGCGAACGGACGAGAAUCUUGCUUCUCUGAUGUUAGCGGCGGACGGGUGAGUAACACGUGGCUAACCUACCUAUAAGACUGGGAUAACUUCGGGAAACCGUAGCUAAUACCGGAUAAUAUUUUGAACCGCAUGGUUCAAAAGUGAAAGACGUUCUUGCUGUCACUUAUAGAUGGAUCCGCGCUGCAUUAGCUAGUUGGUAAGGUAACGGCUUACCAAGGCAACGAUGCAUAGCCGACCUGAGAGGGUGAUCGGCCACACUGGAACUGAGACACGGUCCAGACUCCUACGGGAGGCAGCAGUAGGGAAUAUUCCGCAAUGGGCGAAAGCCUGACGGAGCAACGCCGCGUGAGUGAUGAAGGUCUUCGGAUCGUAAAACUCUGUUAUUAGGGAAGAACAGAUGUGUAAGUAACUGUGCACAUCUUGACGGUACCUAAUCAGAAAGCCACGGCUAACUACGUG